rnacentral:rRNA from 1 species
AGUGAACGCUGGCGGUAGGCCUAACACAUGCAAGUCGAACGGCAGCACAGGAGAGCUUGCUCUCUGGGUGGCGAGUGGCGGACGGGUGAGGAAUACAUCGGAAUCUACUCUGUCGUGGGGGAUAACGUAGGGAAACUUACGCUAAUACCGCAUACGACCUACGGGUGCAAGCAGGGGACCUUCGGGCCUUGCGCGAUUGAAUGAGCCGAUGUCGGAUUAGCUAGUUGGCGGGGUAAAGGCCCACCAAGGCGACGAUCCGUAGGUGGUCUGAGAGGAUGAUCAGCCACACUGGAACUGAGACACGGUCAAGACUCCUACGGGAGGCAGCAGUGGGGAAUAUUGGACAAUGGGCGCAAGCCUGAUCCAGCCAUACCGCGUGGGUGAAGAAGGCCUUCGGGUUGUAAAGCCCUUUUGUUGGGAAAGAAAUCCAGCUGGCUAAUACCCGGUUGGGAUGACGGUACCCAAAGAAUAAGCACCGGCUAACUUCGUGCCAGCCGCCGCCGUAA